AAGACUAGGAACACCUUUAUUUUAUAUAUCAAAAAAAUUUUUCAUCUAAGUGAAAAGACUUAGAUAGCAAAGGAAGACGAAAAGACCCCGCGGAGCUUUACCUUUUCUUAUACUUCCGUGUACCUACUUAAAUGUAUUAAAG
rnacentral:rRNA from 1 species